rnacentral:rRNA from 1 species
CCUACGGGAGGCAGCAGUGAGGAAUAUUGGUCAAUGGCCGGAAGGCUGAACCAGCCAAGCCGCGUGAAGGACGAAGGUGCCAAGCAUUGUAAACUUCUUUUGUCAAGGGACAAAAGAAGGCUCGCGAGCCGGACCGAGGGUACUUGAAGAAAAAGCAUCGGCUAACUCCGUGCCAGCAGCCGCGGUAAUACGGAGGAUGCGAGCGUUAUCCGGAUUUAUUGGGUUUAAAGGGUGCGUAGGCGGAAGGUUAAGUCAGCGGUAAAAUCGCGAGGCUCAACCCCGUCGAGCCGUUGAAACUGGCUGUCUUGAGAGGGCGAGAGGUAUGCGGAAUGCGCGGUGUAGCGGUGAAAUGCAUAGAUAUUGCGCAGAACUCCGAUUGCGAAGGCAGCAUACCGGCGGCGAUCUGACGCUGAGGCACGAAAGUGUGGGUAUCGAACAGGAUUAGAUACCCGAGUAGUC